UGUAGAAAAAUGCUUUCUAGGCAUAGCCUCUCAUAAAGUGCAUAUAGUUAAAGAGCCUGAAUUUAAAGUGCCUGAAUUCCUCAAUGUUCAAACGUUUGAUUGUCAGUCAGCCAUGUCUUAUACUGUCUCUUAAAACUGACAAAAGUGGAAAUUUCUCUGAUAGCUAUAGGUAAAGUAUUCCAGUUUGUCCAACAUUUAAUAGAUAAGCCAUUCUGAGUCCUCUCGUCUUUGCGAAACUGUCAGAUCACACAGGGAUCAUGAGUGAAAAGCGCUUUUCAAGUCCUGCCACAAAUUCUCAGUUCGAUUAAGGUCUGGAUUCUGACUUGUCCGCUUCAGAGUGUUCGCCUUAUUUUAUUGUCUUUAGGCCAUUUAGUGAAGCUUUAGCUGGAUACUUUCAGAUCAGUGUCUUGCUUGAAAACAAAGGUGUCACUUCUCUUGCAGACUGCAUCAGGUUGCCCCCUAGGAUUUCCUUAUACUUUGCUGUAUUAGGUUUACCUGCUACCUUUACAGCACUUCCAAGGCCUGUUGCUGAUAAGUAGUAGUUCCAACAUCAUGAUGCUUCCACCACCAUGCUUCACAAUGGGGAUGGUAUGUUUGUGAUAAUGUGCAGUGUCUGGUUCCUGCCAGAUUUAUCAUCUAGUCUGAUGAUCAAAAGGUUCAAUUUGAUCUCAGACCAAAGAAUCUCCCCUCAAGUUGACUUCAGAGUCUGCCACUGUCACAGUCACAGCCAGAGGCUGUGAUUAGGUGGCAGUGCUCUCUCCUCCUCCAGUCUGUUUUUUCUGUCUCUAGGUGUGUGGCAGUGGUGGGCAGCAGGUGUGGCUGAUUACCAAUCAGCUGAUCGGGUGCAGGUGGGAGUCGCUCAUCAGGCUGGCUGGGCUCACUAUAAAGAGUGACUCCUCUUGUCAGUUGGUGCCGAACCGUCUCCUAACAUAUUGACUCCUGCCUGCUUCUGUUUACCGUCUCUUCUGGUUGGAAAGCCACCUGGCUGAGGCUUCCUGGCUCUACGAGGACUGGGGCUUUCUCCAAGGAGUCUCAAGAGGCUAAGGAGGACUUUGGCUGCUGCCACGCCACUACAGGAACGCCAUUCCACUGGGAGCUGGAACCACCGUCGCAGUCCACUUACCUGCAGCCUAGGAUUCCAACUGUUGGCUGCCGAACACCUAGGACAAGAAUCGUUGGUUCUGACUUCAUACCAAAGAGAGACUAUUCAGCUAAGUUCUCGUUCUAGCAGCAUCAGAGAAUAGAGCAUUGUUGUUUUGUAUAGUUGUUGUUCCUGCUUGUUUAGUGGGAUUCUGGGAUUAAAGUUUGGGUGAUUUGUGUGAACUAGGUUUAGUAGUUAAAGUUUUGUAGUUUUUCUGCUUGGAGUUAUCAAAGGUGGGUUAACUAUUCUGUAUAUAGUGUUUACACCUUCCCUCUAGAAAGUCUUGUUUUGUUAUGUUUACUGCGUCUUCUAAGUUACUUCCCUUUCUGGUAAAAUAGUUCUGGUUGUAGUUGUUUUUGGUCUAGCUGUUGUACAAUAAAAUCUUGUUUAAAUUGA